rnacentral:lncRNA from 1 species
UAUGGAUAUUUAUGUUGUGAAUCUGUGAUGUUUUCUGUCUCUGAUUAUAUAUGUAUAUAUGUAUGUGGUGCUGUGCUGUGCUGUCAACUCGAUUAUUGUAAUUUUUAUUUUUUUUUCUGAAAAAUAACUGUAGGGGCGGUUCUAGAUAGAGCCGCCCUUGCAAAUACAGAUAAUAGAGGCGGCUGAGACACAAGCCGCCCUUACUAAGGCUCACUAUAAGGGCGGCUGGAAGCACCAACCGCUCUUACAGUAGGCCACUGUAAGGGCGGCUGUUGUUUCCAACCGCCCUUACAGUGGGCCUCUGUAAGGGCGGCUGGUGUUGAACCGCCCUUACAGUGAAUUCCACUGUAAGAGCGUUUGCAUAAGGGCGGUUGGGCCAGCCGCCCUUACAGAGCUUAUUUAGCCGCCCCUGCAGUACCUGACUGUAGUAGUGAGUGAGGAGUGCAACCGAGUGGCGAUUGGGCACUACAAAGAGGUGGUGAAGAUGCUAGAAGGUUUCAGGAGUGAACCCUCAUUAUACUAUGAGUGCUAAAGAAAAUCAAGUAGCAACAAUUAAUCAAGUUCAAGUCCAUUCAUAAGUCAUAGAUCGAGAAGUAGUCUCACAAUCCAUCAUCCGUACACAACCUUGUUUAGUUCUAUUUUUUUUUUGCAAAAUAGGAAUAGUAGCACUUUCGUUUUUAUUUGACAAAUAUUGUC